UACGUAGGGGGCAAGCGUUGUCCGGAAUUACUGGGCGUAAAGCGUGCGUAGGCGGUUUCUUAAGUCAGAUGUGAAAUCUUGGGGCUCAACCGCAAGCGGGCAUUGGAAACUGGGGAACUUGAGUACGGAAGAGGAGAGUGGAAUUCCACGUGUAGCGGUGAAAUGCGUAGAUAUGUGGAGGAACACCAGUGGCGAAGGCGGCUCUCUGGUCUGUAACUGACGCUGAGGUGCGAAAGCGUGGGGAGCGAACAGG
rnacentral:misc_RNA from 1 species